rnacentral:rRNA from 1 species
GCGUAACGCGUGGGAAUCUGCCCUUGGGUCCGGGAUAACAGUUGGAAACGACUGCUAAUACCGGAUGAUGACUUCGGUCCAAAGAUUUAUCGCCCAGGGAUGAGCCCGCGUCGGAUUAGCUAGUUGGUGGGGUAAAGGCCUACCAAGGCAACGAUCCGUAGCUGGUCUGAGAGGAUGAUCAGCCACACUGGGACUGAGACACGGCCCAGACUCCUACGGGAGGCAGCAGUGGGGAAUAUUGGACAAUGGGCGAAAGCCUGAUCCAGCAAUGCCACGUGAGUGAUGAAGGCUUAGGGUUGUAA